rnacentral:rRNA from 1 species
AACCUCCGCAAUGUGAGAAAUCGCGACGGGGGGAUCCCAAGUGCCAUUCUUAACGGGAUGGCUUUUCUUAAGUGUAAAAAGCUUUUGGAAUAAGAGCUGGGCAAGACCGGUGCCAGCCGCCGCGGUAACACCGGCAGCUCUAGUGGUAGCUGUUUUUAUUGGGCCUAAAGCGUUCGUAGCCGGUUUGAUAAGUCACUGGUGAAAUCCUGUAGCUUAACUGUGGGAAUUGCUGGUGAUACUGUUGAACUUGAGGUCGGGAGAGGUUAGCGGUACUCCCAGGGUAGAGGUGAAAUUCUGUAAUCCUGGGAGGACCACCUGUGGCGAAGGCGGCUAACUGGAACGAACCUGACGGUGAGGGACGAAAGCUAGGGGCGCGAACCGGAUUAGAUACCCGGGUAGUCCUAGCCGUAAACGAUGCGGACUUGGUGUUGGGAUGGCUUUGAGCCGCUCCAGUGCCGAAGGGAAGCUGUUAAGUCCGCCGCCUGGGAAGUACGGUCGCAAGACUGAAACUUAAAGGAAAU